UACGUAGGGUGCGAGCGUUGUCCGGAAUUAUUGGGCGUAAAGGGCUCGUAGGCGGUCUGUCGCGUCGGGAGUGAAAACUCAGGGCUUAACCCUGAGCCUGCUUCCGAUACGGGCAGACUAGAGGUAUGCAGGGGAGAACGGAAUUCCUGGUGUAGCGGUGGAAUGCGUAGAUAUCUGGAGGAACACCGGUGGCGAAGGCGGCAUCCUGGACCACAACUGACGCUGAGGAGCGAAAGCCAGGGGAGCAAACGGG
rnacentral:rRNA from 1 species